UUACAGGACAAAGGUUUCUAGUUUUCAUGUGGGUUUUGUUGUGUUUUUGCUUUUGGAAUAGGUAUUCUGAACAACAUGAAGCAUUAUUCGCUAAAGCCGUAUGUGGCCAGUAGAGUCCUACAGGAUAUUUGGAUUCCUUCCAUACUUACAUCACUUCUCGAACAAGAUACUUGAACAUCUGAGCUGUGGAAGGCGAAAAAGUCCCAUGAGAAAUGGGUAUAGGUCUGCAUGGAUAUGAUGAAAAAUACAGCAAUUGAGUGACAUCCCCCUGGCUUCCCUGCACUAUGGCAGACCCAAAGGACACAGUCACGGAUGCAAAGCUGAGCAGAUGCACACACACUCACAGCCUGAUAUUGCUACAACUUCUGCUGAAGAAAUGGAAUCUCUAUCCAGUGGGAUGAUGAGAGAACGACUCAAAGAGAACUGAAGAGCUGAAUGCUGCAGCUGAAGAGCAACUGUCCUGAAGGUUAAAGUUACACGUUUGGACAGCUUUCAAAGCCAACUUUCAAGCAGAGAAUUAUCUUAGCAGCCAGAAAGCUGUCCUUUCCUUCACCCUCUCCCAGCACCGUGCAAGAGAAGAAGUAAGAGGAACAUCUGGCAAGCUUACCUCAUUCCUUCGCUGGCUCCUUGAAGGCCAUCAUCACAGGAGGGUGCUCAUAGCCUUCACAGAAACCUUCACAGCUCACCAACAGAGCCUCUGCCUGUCCCCAAGAGUGGCAGAGCCCUGCCCUGUCCUUCUCCUCUCUAGGCCUGGGCAGCGCGGCCGGAGCAGAGCCCAGGGAGAUGCCUCCCAGACCCGGCACCAGCUGAGGGAGAUCCCCAUCGCAGCCAGCGGCAAAACAAGGCUGGGAAUUCCAGUCCCAGGGUCAGAAACCAGUCCCCAGUCCAGGCUGCAGGACUUUUCCCAGCUCCACGC